AAUAUGGCUUAUCGAAGACCAUUUUAAUAAACUAAAUCAAUUAAUUGUGGUUCAAAACUAGGCCUAAAGCAAUUUUUGUAACGACGGUCAUUGCUUUACCCCAUUUUUCAAUGGUACUGUGAUAACAUUUACGUUCAAUUACAAGA
rnacentral:snoRNA from 1 species